UUUGAAAAGCCCCAGCCUUUGGCAGAGGGAAUGGCAUGCAGUAGGUACUCCAUGAAUGCUUACUGAUAACUGACUGACAAAAUGAUUGUUGCACAAUUGAAGAAUCCUUGUUGAGGUCUAAACCCAGAGAGGUCUAAACCUUGGACAGCUUGCUAAUUCAUUAUCUCACUUCCAGGAGUGCCUGAGUCAUCCCAACAGGAGAGUCCAGGCGGCCAAGGCAUACCGAACCUGCCUCAGAUACUUGGGUGUUUCUCAGUUGUGUAGGGCACAGCCUUGGCCGGCAGCUUCCCCGACAAGAGUGGGCCCUCACUUCCCAUGUGGCAGCAGAUCUGCAUGUGCUGCGUUGGGACACAGCCAGCCCACCGCCCUGCUUGCAGCGGGUCUCUCAGAUCUUUCUGGAAGGCGGAUUGCAGCAGCACGUCUCCGAGGCUGCUGGUCACUGAGGUGUCUGAGGCCGGCUUAGCGCCUGCCUGUGGUCUGAUCGUUUGCCGCGUCUGACAGAGAUGACCCGAGUUCAGUGUUGGUCCACUUCUGGGGUGUCUGACUUCAUAGUGUCGUUUCUAAAGAUCGUUCACGUUUCACGCUGGUGUUUUGCCAGAGUCUGUGGCAACAGGGUAGAAGCUUGUCCCUGUGAAGGGCCAUUUAGUCUCCCUGUAGCGGGGAUGAUGAUGAUUAGUUCUGGUGGUAGUAAUUAUAGUAGCAAAGGGAGAGGAGGGAGUGAGAGGAGGGGGAGGACUAGAGCAGCGGUCCUAACGACGUUAAUAUUUAUUGGUCACAGGGCUAGGGACUGCCACGUAAACUCUCAUGUACUACUUACAGCGCACGACAAGGAACGGAUCAGUGUGAUUCUCAUUUUGCAGACAACAUACGGAGCAGUUCAGUAACUUGUCCCAGCUCGUCAAGCUCGUAAAUGAUAGAGGUAGAAUUCAGACGUAGGGAUGAGGACUCCCUCACAGCGGCUCCCAUCCCCUGCCCUUAGAAUCAAGACCCGGGCUGGAUUAUUCCGGAUGCUGCCUGUAGAAUGUAACCUGUCACUACGUAGCUGAUCUUUUAAGCCUGGAUUUCCCCAUCCACAGAAAGUCUAAUAAUAAUCACCAGUCUGACUUUCUCAUGGGGGUAAUGUGAGGGAGAAGAAAAAGAUGUUGUUGAGAACGUGUUCUGUAAACUGUAAACCCUUCAUCAAUAAAUGCUGGUUAUUAUCU